rnacentral:rRNA from 1 species
UAAUACAGAGGUGGCAAGCGUUGUUCGGAAUUACUGGGCGUAAAGGGCGCGUAGGCGGCCUUCUAAGUCAGACGUGAAAUCCCCCGGCUUAACCUGGGAACUGCGUCUGAUACUGGAGGGCUUGAGUGCGGGAGAGGGAUGUGGAAUUCCAGGUGUAGCGGUGAAAUGCGUAGAUAUCUGGAGGAACACCGGUGGCGAAGGCGGCAUCCUGGACCGACACUGACGCUGAGGCGCGAAAGCUAGGGUAGCAAACGGGAUUAGAUACCCCGGUAGUCCUAGCCCUAAACGAUGAGUGCUUGGUGUGGCGGGUAUCGAUCCCUGCCGUGCCGAAGCUAACGCAUUAAGCACUCCGCCUGGGGAGUACGGUCGCAAGGCUG